AGAGUUUGAUCCUGGCUCAGGAUGAACGCUAGCGGGAGGCUUAACACAUGCAAGUCGAGGGGCAGCAUAAGGUAGCAAUACUUUGAUGGCGACCGGCGCACGGGUGAGUAACGCGUAUGUAACCUACCCUGUACAGGGGGAUAGCCCGGAGAAAUUCGGAUUAAUACCCCAUAAAGAUAUUGAGAGGCAUCUUUUAAUAUUUAAAGUUUCGGCGGUACAGGAUGGGCAUGCGUAACAUUAGCUAGUUGGUAGGGUAACGGCCUACCAAGGCUACGAUGUUUAGGGGUCCUGAGAGGGUGAUCCCCCACACUGGUACUGAGACACGGACCAGACUCCUACGGGAGGCAGCAGUGAGGAAUAUUGGUCAAUGGGCGCAAGCCUGAACCGCCAUCCCGCGUGCAGGAAGACGGCGCUAUGCGUUGUAAACUGCUUUUCCAGGGGAAGAAAACCCGCUACGAGUAGCGGCUUGCCGGUACCUUGGGAAUAAGCAUCGGCUAACUCCGUGCCAGCAGCCGCCGUAAUACGGAGGAUGCGAGCGUUAUCCGGAUUUAUUGGGUUUAAAGGGUGCGUAGGCGGAUUAAUAAGUCAGUGGUGAAAACCUGCAGCUUAACUGUAGAAUUGCCAUUGAUACUGUUAGUCUUGAGUACGGUCCAGGUAGGCGGAAUGUGUAAUGUAGCGGUGAAAUGCUUAGAUAUUACACAGAACACCGAUUGCGAAGGCAGCUUACUGGGCCAUUACUGACGCUGAUGCACGAAAGCGUGGGGAGCGAAACAGGAUUAGAUACCCUGGUAGUCCACGCCGUAAACGAUGAUCACCUCGGCUGUUGGCGAU
rnacentral:rRNA from 1 species